AGGGGGAAUGGUCGGGAUAGCUCAGUUG
rnacentral:tRNA from 1 species